UACGGAGGGUGCAAGCGUUAUCCGGAUUCACUGGGUUUAAAGGGUGCGUAGGCGGGCAGGUAAGUCAGUGGUGAAAUCCUUGAGCUUAACUCGAGAACUGCCAUUGAUACUAUCUGUCUUGAAUAUUGUGGAGGUAAGCGGAAUAUGUCUGUAGCGGUGAAAUGCUUAGAUAUGACAUAGAACACCUAUUGCGAAGGCAGCUUACUACGCAUAUAUUGACGCUGAGGCACGAAAGCGUGGGGAUCAA
rnacentral:rRNA from 1 species